GAGCGGCGGACGGCUGAGUAACGCGUGGGAACGUGCCCCAAAGUGAGGAAUAACUGCCCGAAAGGGUGGCUAAUGCCGCAUAUGAUCUUCGGAUUAAAGUCUUCGGACGCUUUGGGAGCGGCCCGCGUCGGAUUAGGUUGUUGGUGAGGUAAUGGCUCACCAAGCCGACGAUCCGUAGCUGGUCUGAGAGGAUGAUCAGCCAGACUGGAACUGAGACACGGCCCAGACUCCUACGGGAGGCAGCAGUGGGGAAUAUUGGACAAUGGGGGCAACCCUGAUCCAGCCAUGCCGCGUGAGUGAUGAAGGCCUUAGGGUUGUAAAGCUCUUUCGCCGGCGACGAUGAUGACGGUAACCGGAGAAGAAGCCCCGGCUAACUUCGUGCCAGCAGCCGCGGUAAUACGAAGGGGGCUAGCGUUGUUCGGAAUGACUGGGCGUAAAGCGCACGUAGGCGGCUUGUUUAGUCAGAGGUGAAAUCCCGGGGCUUAACCCCGGAACUGCCUUUGAUACUGGCAAGCUCGAGUCCGGAAGAGGGUGGCGGAAUACCCAGUGUAGAGGUGAAAUUCGUAGAUAUUGGGUAGAACACCGGUGGCGAAGGCGGCCACCUGGUCCGGUACUGACGCUGAGGUGCGAAAGCGUGGGGAGCAAACAGGAUUAGAU
rnacentral:rRNA from 1 species